CCUACGGGAGGCAGCAGUGAGGAAUAUUGGUCAAUGGACGAGAGUCUGAACCAGCCAAGUAGCGUGAAGGAUGACUGCCCUAUGGGUUGUAAACUUCUUUUAUAUGGGAAUAAAAUGUUCCACGUGUGGGAUUUUGUAUGUACCAUAUGAAUAAGGAUCGGCUAACUCCGUGCCAGCAGCCGCGGUAAUACGGAGGAUCCGAGCGUUAUCCGGAUUUAUUGGGUUUAAAGGGAGCGUAGGUGGAUUGUUAAGUCAGUUGUGAAAGUUUGCGGCUCAACCGUAAAAUUGCAGUUGAAACUGGCAGUCGUGAGUACAGUAGAGGUGGGCGGAAUUCGUGGUGUAGCGGUGAAAUGCUUAGAGAUCACGAAGAACUCCGAUUGCGAAGGCAGCUCACUGGACUGCAACUGACACUGAGGCUCGAAAGUGUGGGUAUCAAACAGGAUUAGAUACCCCAGUAGUC
rnacentral:rRNA from 1 species